AUUGAACGCUGGCGGCAUGCCUUACACAUGCAAGUCGAACGGCAGCACGGGUGCUUGCACCUGGUGGCGAGUGGCGAACGGGUGAGUAAUACAUCGGAACGUACCUUAUCGUGGGGGAUAACGCAGCGAAAGUUGCGCUAAUACCGCAUACGCCCUGAGGGGGAAAGCGGGGGACCGUAAGGCCUCGCGCGAUUAGAGCGGCCGACGUCUGAUUAGCUUGUUGGUGAGGUAAAAGCUCACCAAGGCGAUGAUCAGUAGCUGGUCUGAGAGGACGAUCAGCCACACUGGGACUGAGACACGGCCCAGACUCCUACGGGAGGCAGCAGUGGGGAAUUUUGGACAAUGGGGGCAACCCUGAUCCAGCAAUGCCGUGUGAGUGAAGAAGGCCUUCGGGUUGUAAAGCUCUUUUGUCAGGGAAGAAACAGCAGCUCUAACACAGUCUGCGAAUGACGGUACCUGAAGAAUAAGCACCGGCUAACUACGUGCCAGCCGCCGCGGUAA
rnacentral:rRNA from 1 species